UACGUAGGGGGCAAGCGUUGUCCGGAAUCAUUGGGCGUAAAGAGCUCGUAGGCGGCUUAGUAAGUCGGGUGUGAAACCCCCAGGCUCAACCUGGGGACGCCACCCGAUACUGCUAUAGCUAGAGUCCAGUAGGGGAGUGGCGGAAUUCCCGGUGUAGCGGUGAAAUGCGCAGAUAUCGGGAGGAACACCAGCGGCGAAGGCGGCACUCUGGGCUGGAACUGACGCUCAGGAGCGAAAGCGUGGGUAGCGAACAGG
rnacentral:rRNA from 1 species